rnacentral:rRNA from 1 species
AAAGGAAUAGACGGGGGCCCGCACAAGCAGUGGAGUAUGUGGUUUAAUUCGACGCAACGCGAAAAACCUUACCAGGUCUUGACAUCCAACUAACGAGGCAGAGAUGCGUUAGGUGCCCUUCGGGGAAAGUUGAGACAGGUGGUGCAUGGUUGUCGUCAGCUCGUGUCGUGAGAUGUUGGGUUAAGUCCCGCAACGAGCGCAACCCUUAUUGUUAGUUGCUACGCAAGAGCACUCUAACGAGACUGCCGUUGUAAAACGGAGGAAGGUGGGGAUGACGUCAAAUCAUCAUGCCCUUUAUGACCUGGGCUACACACGUACUACAAUGGCGGUAAACAGAGGGGAGCGAAAGGGUGACCUGGAGCGAAUCCUCAAAAGCCGUCUCAGUUCGGAUUGCAGGCUGAAACUCGCCUGCAUGAAGUCGGAAUUGCUAGUAAUCGCGAAUCAGCAUGUCGCGGUGAAUACGUUCCCGGGCCUUGUACACACCGCCCGU